rnacentral:ncRNA from 1 species
UAAAUUGCUGUGAUUUAGUAAAGUAGAUUAUGUUUUACCUUACAGAGAAAACUUUGGUGGUGAGAAAAGUUUGGAGGAAAUAUAUUUGAAGUGCACUAAUGAGCUUUGAUUCGAAAUUUUAGUAGAUGAUACGUUUGCUUACGUUAUAGAGCUAGGACUUGUUUGAGUCUAAAUGAGAUGGGAUUUAUCCCAAACAAAGUGGAACCGCGAAGUUAACCUUUUGCCUUUGAA